AAAGCGAGGGCCUCACCCUAGGUUUCCCUUCUCCUCCUUGCUCCCCCUCCGUGCCACCACCGCAGAGUAAGUCCCGCGUCGCACCACCAUAGUCGUUGCUCGCCAUGGCCAGAGAGGGAGAAAGCUCCUCUCCGGCAUGAUCGUUACAGCCGCAGCCCCCUCGACGACGGAAUCCCGACAAGGAUUCACAACACAUCACCGUCGUCGUGCAGCAACCCGGGCCAGAUCCGAGCGUCAGCAGGUAGUGGAGGUAGCCGCUGUCCCAUUCCCCUCGCUUUUUCCCAGAUCCAGGCGUGUGUCCUCCCAUGUAGGCCUCGCCGUCACUUUGCACCCCGCGCCUCGGCGCUUCUCUGAUGGAGUUCUUCAAAGAGGGGUUUUGGUUUAUUUCGCGUCCCCUUCCUCGCGCAUGCUUUAGUAGUUUUCCGCAGCUCGCGUGUGGAAAUAUGCGUCGCCCCGCCGCAUCCGCGAGCGCUCGCCAUCGCCUUGCUUCGUCUUCAGCCCCGCCAUGCAAUGGCUGAGUAGAGAUCCUCCUCGAGCUUGAAGCGAGCCCCUUCGCCCCGCAACCUUCCCUCGGCAUAGCGAAUGAGCUCCCCCCCCCCCCUCGUUCUCCUGGGCUGUUGGUCGCUAGAGUGGCCGUCAUUUUGCUUGAUCUAAGAAGCGAGAAACCGAUUAGAUCCGACGCCGUAGCGUAGCCCAGUGGUAGCAGGUGUAGUGCUCCACCACGAUGUCUCUGAUUCGUAUCCUCCCAAGCCCCCAUUCUUUUCUCUCAGUGUUAAAUGGAAUAGCUGACGAGAGCGCUAUGGCCCACCUGUCAUUCAGCUAGGGGGCCUUGGUGUCACUAUCACUGGUGCCCCCCGCGGGAUUAUUUUUGUUUAUAGGGCAAGUUCCAAAUCUAUCCAUGUCCAUUUUGAGCAUAUGCUAAUUUGGCAUAUACUAGGUUAUACCUAGUUAAUUGCAUUUUGAGUUGUAGUUUGUGGGUGAUUUGUCUACAGGAGCAUAUGCUUAUGAUAUGUAAUUUUGGGGUAGAAAAGUCCAAGGAAUCCAAUGAUGACAUUAGUUUUGUCUUUUUAGCAAGUUGAUGUGCAUGCUAUUUGACACCAUGAUGCCUAUUUUUUUUUUGUGGAGCAAGCCUUGCACCCUUUGCCAAACUUGUCAAAUGAAAGUUGUAGUAUUUUGGGAGUGCUAGGCCCUGGUAUUUUUAUUCGCCUUGAAAACCCUGUAUAUUUGUAGCUUUCUUGCUCGAAACAUGCCAUCUCAAUAUUGUUGCUUGGGUAUGUUGAAAGAUGACUAAGUGUGAAAACUAUUUCAAAUAGUUGUGUUGGCAUGACGAUUGCCAAGCAUAUACUAGUUCUUUGUGUUGGAAUUGUGGUGUGAAUUAAAUAGCAUGUUGCCCUCUAUUAAAUGGAGUCAUUACUUUGAAAAAUAGGCCUUGCAUCUUAGCUAUUGUUGCUGUCAAACAUGCCGUGUUGUUGUAAACUGCUGUGAAUUCACCCUGUGAAAUUUGACUAAGUUUGAGAAUCUGCUUAUAUCAUCAUGCCAUGUUUAGAGGAGGCUACCAUUGUUUUUGUUCAGUUUUGGCUCAUGGUUAGUGGGAGUGAAUUUUAGUGAUUGUUGUCCUCUACGAGCCUGUCAAAUUUCAUGCUAUGAAACUUACUGUAGAAUAGAGUUUUAUUGCUAUCAACAUGCCAUCAUGAUAAAACUGCUAGUAUAAAACUGAAAUUUUCACCAAGUCCUAAUUUGUUAUAAUUGUUGCCAUAUUAGGAUCUUGAUUGCCAUUGGUUCAUGAACAUAUCCAUGUUGAUUUUAGUUAGGGGUUGUUGUACUCUUUUUUAGCUUCAUAUCCAUGUUUGGGUUGAACUUGAUGGGCGCUGUAGCUAUUCGUUUUCAUCUGAACAAAGUGGUAUGUUGCUGUUUGUGGACAUAUUGCUUGUUGGAUUGUUUCGUGCUUUGUUUUAGUUGUGCUCCUUUGUUUGGAAUUAAAUUUAGGUCUACUUAACCAAUAAUUUCGUUCCCAAUCCUGUGGAACACUUGGAAUGCUAAGGAAUUUCCCAUAUCCGCUCUCAAAUUCUGUUUUUAUCAUCAUUGCCUUCUGUAUCUUGUCGUGAGAGUUUCGAGAGAUCUGUAACUCGGUUUGUGACGUUCUUUAUAUGCAUUUGUAUAAUUUUAUCAUUAUGCAUUUAUUUUUUCCAUGUCAUGCAUGUCGAAAUAAUUACUCUUGAGGUUCUAUACAGAAUGGUAAUAACUAAAUAAUUGCAUGAGAAAGAUGACUAGUGUAGCAUUGCCCUGCUUCAUUCAUACCAUACUCAUGUAUCAUAUUGUCUGAAGAAUUGUGCCUUGUUGUGUGUUCAUUGGAUGUUGUAUUUUAUUUUUGGUACUAUCAAGUGCAGAGAACGAGUACGGGUAUCCCGUUGAGAACGUUCCUGAAGAGCUAGACUUUUAUCCCUCAGAAGAAGUGCUAGGCAAGAUGAUCGUGACCUUGAUAUCGUUUAUAAUUUUUUAUGAUUAGCUUUCUCAUUUCCAUAGCUAUUUAUUUCUGCCUACCACCUGAAUAUCAAGCUUCCAAACAUUGCCUUGAAAAGCCUCUAACCCCUCCACAUCCUAGCAAACGUUAAUUAGCUAAGUUAGCGCUUUCUCAAACCUUCUUAUAGCGUUGCUAGUUGCAGGUACAGGUUAAUACAUGUGUUGACAUGGAAAUUUGGAAUAUCAUCUUAUUAUUUCUAUUUAAAUUAGUGCACAUAUAUACCUUGUGAAGGCGGAAGGAUUGGCCUUUUUCUCGGUGUUUUGUUCCUCUUUUGCCGCCCUAGUUUCCGGUUACUUGUGUCAUGUUCCAUAUUGAGUGCUCUUAAAACAGUUGGGGUUGUCAUGAGGACCCCCUUGAUAAUUCAUUUUGAGUUAAGACUCUUCCGGCAAAGCCAAACAUUGAUAUUAAAUUUGCUAAAGAACUUAAUAAAAAUGCAUAGGGAAUAGCUACCCCAUGGAUCUUAAUCAAGAACCCGGGCGAGUGCUCCUCAUGAGUAUUGGUCCAAACCAAGCGAUGUUCAGCGGCUCCUAGUCACCGGGGGUUUCAGCCAAAUCGACGUCUAGCUCAUCUGGUAGUGCCGUGAGAAAGAGAUACGUGUGGGUCCUAUUGGGAUCUAGCCUACUGGGCGGUCUUGCUGGAAUUUUUUUACUCUUUAUUAAUGUCUUGUCCACUCGGAUAUCGGUGAUACGUUGGGCUACCUUGAGGUUGAGGUUUUCUCUCCAGAGCAGCUUGUGAUAGUUUGUGAUGGACUAGUUGGAGCAUCCCUACAGGGUUAAUAUCUUUCUGAAAGCCAUGCAUGCGGUUAUGUGGCAACUUGGAAAUUUGUUUAACAUCUAGUUAUAGAAAAAUUGAAGUAAACUCAAUUAAAACCUGCCAACUAUGUGCGUAACUAUGAUUGUCUGUGCUCGUUAGUUUCUACUCCGACUCAGGACACGAUGGGGUUAUGUCUGACGUAAGUAGGUGUUCAGGAUCACCUCUAGAUCAUUUUCAUCUCACGCCUGUUUAUUCGUAAACUGCCCAAUUUAAAUUAUGUUCUCGUAAGAUAUCCACCAAAUAUUGCUUAGUGUUGCUCCAACCUCACCACUUAACCAUGCCGCACCCAAUAACUUAAUUAGUCUUGAUAUCAUGGUCGCAAGAUUGUUGACUCCCCGUGGCUCACAAAUUACUACAACACCACAGGUACAGGUACCUAAUGACCACAAGUAUAGAAGAUCGGUCGUAGUCGUUUAGAUAAGUAAUUGUGUCAAACCCAACAAGGAAAAGAAGGAAAUGACAAGCGGUUUUCAACAAGGUAAUUUCGCAAGCAUUGAAAUAGAGGUAACAAGUUGCUUGAUAGGAAGAUAAUUGUAACAAGCAACGAGUAGCAAUAGUAAUGAUAAGUGCAGAAAGGUAGCCAAUCCUUUUUUGGCAAAGGACAAACUGGAAUAGUUUCUUAUAAUAGGCAAAGCAUUCUUGAGGGCA